GGGCCCGCACAAGCGGAGGAACAUGUGGUUUAAUUCGAUGAUACGCGAGGAACCUUACCUGGGCUAGAACGCUCCUGGAAUCAGGCCGAAAGGUUUGAGCCGGCAACGGCCGGGAGCGAGGUGCUGCAUGGUUGUCGUCAGCUCGUGCCGUGAGGUGUCGGGUUAAGUCCCAUAACGAGCGCAACCCCUACCGUCAGUUGCCAGCGGGUCAAGCCGGGCACUCUGGCGGAACUGCCGGCGUAAGCCGCGAGGAAGGCGGGGAUGACGUCAAAUCAGCACGGCCCUUACGUCCAGGGCUACACACGUGUUACAAUGGCCGGUACAGAGGGCAGCCACCCCGCGAGGGGGCGCGAAUCCCGAAAGCCGGUCUCAGUUCGGAUCGGAGUCUGGAACCCGACUCCGUGAAGCUGGAUUCGCUAGUAAUCGCGCAUCAGCCAUGGCGCGGUGAAUACGUUCCCGGGCCUU
rnacentral:rRNA from 1 species